UAGGGGCCUGCUAACAAUUCAGCACUUCCCAUGAUUCUUUUGGGGGAAGCCAUGGCAGUUAAAGUGGUAGAGUCCAGCUGUGAUUUUUCCAUUUCCCCAAUAUCCUUCUUUUAAUAAGGUGACCAGCACGGGGGAAAAUUAGAAUGAAGACUUCUAUCUCCUUGGGAUAUUUCUACCUCUGAGGAUAGUAGUUACUGAGUGGAGAGAGAGAGAGAGGUGUGAGGUGUUUAUCUGUGGAAAGCAGGAGAUAGCGUUGCAAAGAAGAAACGUGUACGCCGGGGAAUUGAAGAUCCAGCAAAUGGCUGACUGGAUUAAAAAACAACUACCCGCACAUGCCAUAAAAAACAGAACAACAACCAACGCACAC